rnacentral:rRNA from 1 species
AGGAAUAUUGGUCAAUGGGCGUAAGCCUGAACCAGCCAAGUCGCGUGAGGGAGGACGGCCCUACGGGUUGUAAACCUCUUUUGCCGGGGGACAAACGGCGGCACGCGUGCCGUCCUGAGGGUACCCGGAGAAAAAGCAUCGGCUACCUCCGUGCCAGCAGCCGCGGUAAUACGGAGGAUGCGAGCGUUAUCCGGAUUUAUUGGGUUUAAAGGGUGCGUAGGCGGGAUGCCAAGUCAGCGGUCAAAUACGGGGGCUCAACCUGCGUCCGCCGUUGAAACUGGCGUUCUUGAGUGGGCGAGAAGUACGCGGAAUGCGUGGUGUAGCGGUGAAAUGCAUAGAUAUCACGAAGAACUCCGAUUGCGAAGGCAGCUCACUGGACUGUUAACUGACACUGAGGCUCGAAAGUGUGGGUAUCAAACAG